UACAUGGGGUGCAAACGUUGCUCGGAAUUAUUGGGCGUAAAGCGCACGUAGGCGGUUUGUUAAGUCGGAUGUGAAAUCCCUCGGCUCAACUGAGGAAGUGCAUCCGAAACUGGCAAGCUUGAGUACGAAAGAGGGUCGCGGAAUUCCCGGUGUAGAGGUGAAAUUCGUAGAUAUCGGGAGGAACACCGGUGGCGAAGGCAGCUCGCUGGGACGGUACUGACGCUGAGGCGCGAAAGCGUGGGGAGCAAACAGG
rnacentral:rRNA from 1 species